GCUCCGGCGCGACGGCGGAUUACGACGACUCUCCUUCCCGGCAAUUAGGUCUUCUUCUCCAGUGAGGGUGUCUAGCAGCUAGGGUUAGGGUUUGGUAUGAAGAUGGUUAUUUAUAUCCGUUCCCUUUUAAUCUGGGCCAUCUAUCGCGUUUGAUGCGAACCGUUCGAUUGCGUUUAAAUCUGAACUUCCGAUCGUGUUUGGGGAGGGAACACAUCCAGGCCGUCCGUGCGUGCGAAAGUGAAUCUGGGCUGUCCGUGCACGCGGGAGCAAAUCUGGGCCAUCCGAUCGCAGGCACGCAGAUCGCCCACAUGACACCGUGUCAGUGUCCCUUGCCACACGGCGUGUUCCGAUUCAUUGGGACUACUGACUAGGCGUCCUAUGUGGCACAGCUUUCUUAAAU
rnacentral:lncRNA from 1 species